GAUGAACGCUGGCGGCGUGCCUAAUACAUGCAAGUCGAGCGAACGGACGAGAAGCUUGCUUCUCUGAUGUUAGCGGCGGACGGGUGAGUAACACGUGGAUAACCUACCUAUAAGACUGGGAUAACUUCGGGAAACCGGAGCUAAUACCGGAUAAUAUUUUGAACCGCAUGGUUCAAAAGUGAAAGACGGUCUUGCUGUCACUUAUAGAUGGAUCCGCGCUGCAUUAGCUAGUUGGUAAGGUAACGGCUUACCAAGGCAACGAUGCAUAGCCUACCUGAGAGGGUGAUCGGCCACACUGGAACUGAGACACGGUCCAGACUCCUACGGGAGGCAGCAGUAGGGAAUCUUCCGCAAUGGGCGAAAGCCUGACGGAGCACGCCGCGUGAGUGAUGAAGGUCUUCGGAUCGUAAAACUCUGUUAUUAGGGAAGAACAUAUGUGUAAGUAACUGUGCACAUCUUGACGGUACCUAAUCAGAAAGCCACGGCUAACUACGUG
rnacentral:rRNA from 1 species